UCAGAUUGAACGCUGGCGGCAGGCUUAACACAUGCAAGUCGAGCGGGGGAAGGUAGCUUGCUACCGGACCUAGCGGCGGACGGGUGAGUAAUGCUUAGGAAUCUGCCUAUUAGUGGGGGACAACAUCUCGAAAGGGAUGCUAAUACCGCAUACGUCCUACGGGAGAAAGCAGGGGAUCUUCGGACCUUGCGCUAAUAGAUGAGCCUAAGUCGGAUUAGCUAGUUGGUGGGGUAAAGGCCUACCAAGGCGACGAUCUGUAGCGGGUCUGAGAGGAUGAUCCGCCACACUGGGACUGAGACACGGCCCAGACUCCUACGGGAGGCAGCAGUGGGGAAUAUUGGACAAUGGGGGGAACCCUGAUCCAGCCAUGCCGCGUGUGUGAAGAAGGCCUUAUGGUUGUAAAGCACUUUAAGCGAGGAGGAGGCUACUUUAGUUAAUACCUAGAGAUAGUGGACGUUACUCGCAGAAUAAGCACCGGCUAACUCUGUGCCAGCAGCCGCGGUAAUACAGAGGGUGCGAGCGUUAAUCGGAUUUACUGGGCGUAAAGCGUGCGUAGGCGGCUUAUUAAGUCGGAUGUGAAAUCCCCGAGCUUAACUUGGGAAUUGCAUUCGAUACUGGUGAGCUAGAGUAUGGGAGAGGAUGGUAGAAUUCCAGGUGUAGCGGUGAAAUGCGUAGAGAUCUGGAGGAAUACCGAUGGCGAAGGCAGCCAUC
rnacentral:rRNA from 1 species